GUUCUCUCAAAUCUAUCCUAUACUAAAAGGCAGAUAUAGAGUGAUUUUAGCAUGUCCACGUAGGCAAAUAUAUUUGGCCAAUCAAAACAUUUCAUUAAAACACGUUGGAUCUCCUACAUUAAGCUAUUGAUUUUGUAUGGGCUUUGAUGUGCUUCUGCUGGGCUACAAUCUAUCGCUACAAUUAACCAAAAAAAAAGCAGCCCUAGACAGAAGUCUCUACGGCUCUACCUCUUCGUCUUCUUCGCUUGAUACCACAGCGAUUCAGCUUGAUUGAUCCACUUCUGUAUAAUCAAUACUCCACUACAUCUCGAUCAACCAAUUUCUUCUUAAUGAUUUCGUUUCGGUUUUCUCUUUUCCUCCUUCUUUAUAUACUCAUUUUCUUCCUGUGUACAAAUCAAACCCUAAAACUUCUCUAACUUCAAUCUAUGGCGAUGAAACCAAAUGGGAAAUCUCCUAUCACCUCCGAGGAUCUCAGCCGCCGCUACUCCCACCAGCUCAUCUCCGUCGUCGUUUACUGCCACUCACGCGGUGUGAGCUGAUGGGCGUGGAUAUGCUACUUAUUGAUCCAAGGCAAAAGCUCAUCCACGUCUUUAUCAAUUUUCACCGUCUUAACACCUUUAAACCAAAGCCGCAACGAAGCAGGAAACUACCGGAGCUUGGCUGAGAUCGCC